UUUCCUCAUUUUUUCUUUUCCCCACAACAAAUCAGAGAACAUUACUCCCCUUCCUCCCUCCCAUUUCUCACUCACGGCUCUCUCUUUCUCUUCUCUAAUCUUCAUCAAGCUUCAAUUUUUGCUCAAACUUCAAACAUGCAAGAUUAAAAUCAUGUCAUAGGUAUCAAAUCAAAUCUCCAGCCAACUCUUUUUCCCUCAUUCCUCCUCUUUUUAAACUCAACCACCAUCAACCAUAAGAAGAUUUGAAAGUUUUGGUUAAGCUCAUAAUUGGGAUUGCAUAUGUGUUAAUUGUGGUGUUAGAUGCAAGAAAGUGAAUUUUCAACUUAAGCAGAAGAUUGGGGUCUGAUAGGAGCUUGGAGCUUUUCAAGGGAAUCAACUCAAAACAUGGUGCUGGAAACCAUUAGGUACAUCUAAUGGUUUUGGAAUACAACUCACAGAAACUAUUUCUGGAUUUAUGCAAGGUGCAUAAGGAUUUCCUUAUGCACCAUAACCGCAGCCGUUAGAGACUUGCUUCCCAAUUGGUGCUGCUGGGAAUUUUCUUUUGCGACGGGUAGUGUCAUGUAACACUUUAAGACCCGAAUUUGAAUUAUUAAAUAAAAGAAUAUAUUUAAUUAAAA